rnacentral:rRNA from 1 species
GUAGGUGGCAAGCGUUGUCCGGAAUUAUUGGGCGUAAAGCGCGCGCAGGCGGUCCUUUAAGUCUGAUGUGAAAGCCCACGGCUCAACCGUGGAGGGUCAUUGGAAACUGGGGGACUUGAGUACAGAAGAGGAAAGCGGAAUUCCAAGUGUAGCGGUGAAAUGCGUAGAGAUUUGGAGGAACACCAGUGGCGAAGGCGGCUUUCUGGUCUGUAACUGACGCUGAGGCGCGAAAGCGUGGGGAGCAAACAGGGAUUAGAUACCCUGGUAGUCCACGCCGUAAACGAUGAGUGCUAAGUGUUAGGGGGUUUCCCGCCCCUUAGUGCUGCAGCUAACGCAUUAAGCACUCCACCUGGGGAGUACGGCCCGCAAGGCUG